UACAGAGGGGGCAAGCGUUGUUCGGAAUUACUGGGCGUAAAGGGCGCGUAGGCGGCUUUGCAAGUGACGGGUGAAAGCCCUCGGCUUAACCGAGGAACUGCCUGUCAGACUGUAAGGCUUGAGACCGGGAGAGGUGAGUGGAAUUCCCAGUGUAGCGGUGAAAUGCGUAGAUAUUGGGAGGAACACCAGUGGCGAAGGCGGCUCACUGGACCGGAACUGACGCUGAGGCGCGAAAGCGUGGGGAGCAAACAGG
rnacentral:rRNA from 1 species